rnacentral:rRNA from 1 species
UACGUAGGGGGCAAGCGUUGUCCGGAUUUAUUGGGCGUAAAGAGCGUGUAGGCGGCCAGGUAGGUCCGUUGUGAAAACUGGAGGCUUAACCUCCAGCUGUCGAUGGAAACCAUCUGGCUAGAGUCCGGAAGAGGAGAGUGGAAUUCCUGGUGUAGCGGUGAAAUGCGCAGAUAUCAGGAAGAACACCGGUGGCGAAGGCGGGUCUCUGGGCAGUAACUGACGCUGAGGAGCGAAAGCGUGGGGAGCGAACAGG